UACAGAGGGGGCUAGCGUUGUUCGGAAUUAUUGGGCGUAAAGGGCGCGUAGGCGGCCACACAAGUCACACGUGAAAUCCCUCGGCUCAACCGGGGAAUUGCGUUUGAUACUGUGCGGCUUGAGUUCUGGAGAGGGUAGUGGAAUUCCCAGUGUAGCGGUGAAAUGCGUAGAUACUGGGAGGAACACCGGUGGCGAAGGCGGCUACCUGGACAGUGACUGACGCUGAGGCGCGAAAGCUAGGGGAGCAAACAGG
rnacentral:rRNA from 1 species